rnacentral:rRNA from 1 species
GGAUUAGAUACCCUGGUAGUCCUAGCUGUAAACGAUGAGCACUAGGUUGGGGGCUCCUCCAUAGGUUUCCGACCGAAGCGAAAGUGUUAAGUGCUCCGCCUGGGGAGUAUGGUCGCAGGGCUGAAACUCAAAGGAAUUGACGGGGGCUCACACAAGCGGUGGAGGAUGUGGCUUAAUUCGAGGAUACGCGAAGAACCUUAUCCUGGUCUUGACAUGUACGGAUGGGCUGCCUGAAAGGGAUAGUCCCUGCCUUCGGGUGAAACGUACACAGGUGCUGCAUGGCCGUCGUCAGCUCGUGCCG